rnacentral:rRNA from 1 species
GGAUUAGAUACCCUGGUAGUCCUAGCUGUAAACGAUGGGCACUAGGUGUUGGAAAUCAUAGAUUUUCAGUGCCGUAGCUAACGCAUUAAGUGCCCCGCCUGGGGAGUACGUCCGCAAGGAUGAAACUCAAAGGAAUUGACGGGGACCUGCACAAGCGGUGGAGCAUGUGGUUUAAUUCGAAGCAACGCGAAGAACCUUACCGGGGCUUGACAUGUAGCUGCUAACCCUAUGAAAGUAGGGCUCCUUCGAGGGUGCUACACAGGUGCUGCAUGGCUGUCGUCAGGCUGCUGUCU